rnacentral:lncRNA from 1 species
AAGAGGACAGGUGGCAUCGUGUGUGAAGAGGCUGAAAGCAAGGCAGCUAGAGAAGAGGAAGGGUUGAGAAGCUCCGGCCACUGGGUGAGCGAGGGAGGGAUGCAGCCUGGGAGCAGAGGAUGGAGAUUCACAGAAGAACGUGGAUAGAGAAGCAGCCAACUGUGAAGUGCCAGAAAACCAAGGUCUCUUUUCAGGACAUCAUCACCCUGUUGCUGCUUUGCCAGCCCCAGGUCCCAAGCCCAACAUAUGUCUGCAGCCCCUAGGUGACCACAGUCUUAGCAAGAAACUGGAGAGGGAUCUGGGGUAUAAUUUAUUAAGUAGAAUAAUUUCCACUUCCGCUUAGCCAUAUGUCACGCCAAGACCUCACACUUGGGCGUGUCCCCACUAACUGGUCAUACACCCUGAAAUACCCUUAUCUUUGCUAACUGUUUUGGACUCCUACUUUUUCAGGUUCUUUGCCUCUGUAAACAUUGCAUUGUGGGGCAAGGUGGCUAGUCAGAAUUGGACCCCUUUCCUGGAGUAUAACCAUUCCUAGUCAGUAGAGACUGAGUCACCCAGGUCAAAACACCGCGCUAAAUCCCUUCACCAAAGGCCAGUGGUUGUAGUGGGUUUCGAAGCUGGCUAGUGGCUCCUGUCUGUGUACAGAAUAACCUGCUCUCUCCUCUCCCGAUACUGAGAACACGGAGACUAUAGGUUGGUAUCAUCCUGGAAUCCCGUCCUUUUCCUCACCAUUGGCUUACACAAUGGCUCUUGGGUAAAAGAGCCCAAAAUUCUUGGGGUCUCUAUCCCAAAGCAAGUCUGCCUAAGAAGGCCAGUCCUAUCCCAGGAGCACCCAGUCUUUCAUAAACCAGGCAGCCAGAUAUUCACAGGGAAUCAACACACUUGAGAAGGUUGAGAAAUCUCUAGUAAAUUGCAUGUGUAUGUACAUGUGCAAUUACAUAGGUGGGGGUUGAGCCUGGAUUUUCCCUGCUUCGUGGUUUUUCAAAGCCUCUGAUCCUUUGCGCUGGAUUAGCACUACCAGCUAGCUAUCUGGGGCUCUGCCCCGAAUCUCCCUCUCUGCUGGGCCCAGCCUGUACAUCACCAGGUGUUAGAAACCAAGUCCUGGGUUUGUAGUGCCCACUCUGGCGGGUACUCCAGCAGUUUCCCUGCACCUCUGGCUCUCACCAGCAUCCUCUCAGCUGUUCUGUGCCAAAUACGUCUGCACCCCUGGGUUCAGCCCAGGGGCCCCUCACCUCGGUGACUAAGCUUCGCCCACCUUGUUACGAUGUCUUAUAUAUAUACACACUGCUAUUUACAGACCUGGCCUUGGAUCCUGUGACCCUCUGGGAAGAGUCCUGCCAAAGUCCAGGACAGCAUUGGGGCUAAGGCAGAGGCUUUUCUCUAGAGGCUUGGGCCCUGUCCCAACGUGGACUUUGGGGCUAGGAACCUGGGCUUCUCUCUGUGAAUGUAAGGACAGCUACUCAGAGAGCCUUGAUGGGGGCCUCUCCCCAUUUCCUGUGGUCAGACCCGGCUCAGCACUUGGCAGCUGUCCCGUGCGGGGACUCAGUCCAACUCUGUGUUUGCUUUUCUUCUUGGCCAAAGCAUGUGCCACUAAGCUGUCCUGGAGGACAUUGUCUUUAUGAAACACACCUGGAAUAAAACCACUUCUUACAUGUCC